AUUGAACGCUGGCGGCAGGCUUAACACAUGCAAGUCGAGCGAGCGGCGGACGGGUGAGUAAUGUCUGGGAAACUGCCUGAUGGAGGGGGAUAACUACUGGAAACGGUAGCUAAUACCGCAUACCAUCAGAUGUGCCCAGAUGGGAUUAGCUAGUAGGUGGGGUAAUGGCUCACCUAGGCGACGAUCCCUAGCUGGUCUGAGAGGAUGACCAGUCACACUUGAAAUUAGACAACGGCCAGACUCCUACCGGAGGCAGCAGGGGGGAAUAAUUGAACAUGGGCGCAAGGCUGAUGCAGCCAUUCCGCGGGUUUGAAGAAGGCCUUCGGGUUGGAAAGUCCUUUGUGAGGGGGAAUGUUACCUAAAGAAGAAGCACCGGCUAACUCCGUGCCAGCAGCCGCGGUAAUAC
rnacentral:rRNA from 1 species